rnacentral:rRNA from 1 species
GUCAGCUUACCCUAUGAGGGUUAAACAGUAAGCAAAAUGGGCCCAGCCCAAAACGUCAGGUCAAGGUGUAGCGCACGAGGUGGGAAGAAAUGGGCUACAUUUUCUACCACAGAAUAUCACGAAUGGUGCCCUGAAACAUGAAACCUGAAGGAGGAUUUAGUAGUAAAAAGCAAAUAGAGUGUCCUUUUGAACUAGGCUCUGAGGCGCGCACACACCGCCCGUCACUCUCCCCUUCCUAUUAUAAUCAAAACAUUCCUAAUCACACACACAAAAAUACGGGGAGGCAAGUCGUAACA